UCUUAGGAAAAACAUUACAAGACCAUUUGAGGAUCAGACGUCACUGGAGUUCUUUUCAAAGAAGUCGGACUGUUCUCUGUUCAUGUUUGGCUCCCACAAUAAGAAGAGGCCCAAUAAUCUCGUGAUAGGUCGUAUGUAUGACUACCAUGUGCUGGAUAUGAUUGAACUAGGGAUUGAGAAAUUCGUGUCUCUGAAAGAUAUUAAGACAAGUAAGUGCCCUGAGGGAACAAAGCCCAUGUUGAUAUUUGCUGGUGAUGAUUUUGAUGUAACAGAAGACUACAGAAGACUGAAAAAUCUUCUUAUUGAUUUCUUCAGAGGCCCCACAGUGUCAAACGUCCGUCUGGCUGGAUUAGAGUAUGUUCUGCAC
rnacentral:lncRNA from 1 species